AUGUUUCCUGUAGCUCUGCUGCUCCUGAUGGCAGCUGGAAACGGUGUGAAGUGUGAACAGCUGACUCAGCCACAAUCUGUGACUGUGCAGCCAGGUCAACGUCUCUCCAUCACCUGUCAGGUCUCUUAUUCUGUGAGCACCUACGGCACACACUGGAUCAGACAACCUGCAGGAAAAGGACUGGAGUGGAUUGGUUAUGACACAACCUUUAAAGAUUCACUGAAGAACAAGUUCAGUGGCAUCGAAGAUUCUUCCAGCAACAGAGUGACUCUGAAUGGACAGAAUAUGCAGCCUGAAGACUCUGCUGUGUAUUACUGUGCCAGAGACACACAGUGACACAAAUGAUCAGUAGCCCUGAACAAAAACCCCUCAGUGUCUGAACACUUGUAACAUGAAGCCACCAGAGGAGGAGCCCUCAGACCAGGAAUGAAUUCAGAUCAGUUCACUCAGUAAAACUCUCUUUGCUGUCAAUCUUUGCACCAUUAGCAGCUCAGAGGACUUUCAAAAAACAAAAAUCUACUCU